AAGUAAUGAAUGAGUAACUUGGAAGUAAUGAGAAGCUUUGAAGCAAGGAUAAUGAAACUUUGAGAAACAGACAAUACUGAGUUAAAAGGUUAUAUGGUAUUUCAUGGUAAAAGAGAAAAAAGAGACCAAUGCAUGUUUAAGAAUAGAAGAAUAUAAGAGUUAUUGGUCAGCUUAUGGUUUAAUAAGUGUCAAACUCCUGUACCUCUUUGAGACUUCAAAGAGGAGCUCCAGCGUGGGCAUAUGUCAGGUGGUGUUGCCGAGAGUUGUGGGCUCGGUAAAUAGCUAAUGAUCAAGAGGAUCAUUUUGGGAGACGCUUAUUUUUAAGUAAAAGGAUUAAGUUCGGACGAGGAAGUCCGACAGAAAACACCUGGUGCUGUCAGGAUGUUUAAGUGACACAGAAGUUCAGAAAAUCGAGUCAGAAAUGGUUUUGUGGCUCUUGGUAAACUGAUUUUGAAGGAAAAUCAGUGUUUAUUGUGCUGAAGUAACAGAUCCGGCGCGGUCUGACGGGAAGAAUCAGCUGCACAAUUCUGAGUGUGCAGUGUUGUUGAUAUUAACAGAUCCGGCGUGGUCUGAGGAAAAGAAAUAAAUCGGUUAAUGGCUGAUAUAUUUAUAUGAAUUUUGGUGGAUCUGCUGAGGUCCAGAAAAUAAUCAAUGCGGACGGUGUUUGUUCGAACGUUAAUAAAUGAUCCAGGAAGAAUUGCCCUGGGUCUGUGUCUGUGUGUGUGUUGUUCAGUGACAACAUGCACAGUUUAAAAUUGGGCGCAGUUCCUUCCUCUUUUUGGUUUCAAAACACAAAGGCUGUUGCAUUAAGAAUUACUGUGUGAGGAACGGCUUCACUUUUGAUUAGGGACAUAAUAUGCUUACUUUUGGGUUUAUGAAGAUCUCGUAACAAUCUGGGGGAGAUGCCGGGGUAAAAAGAGUGAGCUUGGACGAAGGGGUCCGAGAAAAGAACACCGUGAUUUGAGCAAGGUGUUUUAACUGACUCAGGAUUUCAGAGAAUCGAGUCAGCUGUGAUCUUGAGUUUUAAGGAACCCACGCCCACUUGGCCCCCAUAUCAGGCGAAGCAUGGAAGGCUGGACAGCCCAUGACGGGUAAGAUCCCACCUCGAAACCCUGGGACAACCUAAGGCAAGGCGCAGUCACGAUUGCUUGAACCUAGGUCCCUAAGUGAGCUUGGACUCACUGGAGGAGACGGGACUUCAAGGGUAAAGCCGCUGGGGCAGAGGGGGAAACGUCAUUAACAAUGACGAGUGAUGAGCCAAAGAGGGGAGGCACUCACUGUCUUUCAGGGUGAAUUGUUCCCUGAACCUGAAAAUCAAGCUUUAACUUCUGGCUGAGGACAAGGAAUGUUGUUAUUUAAGGAGG
ensembl:lncRNA